rnacentral:rRNA from 1 species
GAUGAACGCUGGCGGCGUGCCUAAUACAUGCAAGUCGAGCGAACGGACGAGAAGCUUGCUUUUCUGAUGUUAGCGGCGGACGGGUGAGUAACACGUGGAUAACCUACCUAUAAGACUGGGAUAACUUCGGGAAACCGGAGCUAAUACCGGAUAAUAUUUUGAACCGCAUGGUUCAAAAGUGAAAGACGGUCUUGCUGUCACUUAUAGAUGGAUCCGCGCUGCAUUAGCUAGUUGGUAAGGUAACGGCUUACCAAGGCAACGAUGCAUAGCCGACCUGAGAGGGUGAUCGGCCACACUGGAACUGAGACACGGUCCAGACUCCUACGGGAGGCAGCAGUAGGGAAUCUUCCGCAAAGGGCGAAAGCCUGACGGAGCAACGCCGCGUGAGUGAUGAAGGUCUUCGGAUCGUAAAACUCUGUUAUUGGGGAAGAACAUAUGUGUAAGUAACUGUGCACAUCUUGACGGUAACUAAUCAGAAAGCCACGGCUAACUACGUG